GCGUAUAUAAACUUAUGAACGAUCAAGUUAUAUUACAAAAAAUCAAAAGAUUCCAAGAUUCCAACAUUUCAAGAUUCCAGAAUUCCAAGGUUCCAAGAUUACAAGAUUCCAAAUUCCAGAUUCCAUGUUUUAUAAUUUACCGAGUGUAAACUACUUGAGACAUGGGUAAUAAGUGGCAUUAUGUAAAUCUAACUUGACCAUACGUUAUAAUUUAUAACCAUACUCGUCUGUCGUAUGCCAAGGUCCAUACUAAAACGAGGUUUAAUAUCUCUCAAGCAGUCGUUUGAAAAUCUAUCACAAAACAUUCAAGAUGUAUUUACCACUACUUGCAUCAGUCAUGCUGAUAUUUUAUACUUCCAUCGUCGAUUCGGCUGCCGGACGUAAACAUUCAAAAGGGAAUUUGAAGCCCUUCCGUUUCAAGCCUGGCUUUUUCAUAAGAAAUUGACGGAUUAUCUGAGCAAAAAAGUUGAAUCAUUUUUCAAGUUGUUAUUGGCGGGAAAGGUUCAGAAAGCUGUCAACAGCGUAUAUGCGAAGGAUAGCGUGUUUCUACCAGCGCACCGGAGGCAAUAGGCAGGAAAGACUUAAAAAAUAAUCACUUGAUUGAAGGAAUACCAUUGGCAAAUAUCACCACCAACAUAGACUUUAAAGUUGAACAGAUGAUAAAAAGGGGAAUGUAGCAAUAUGAAGAUACCGAGGACAUACUUAUGGAAAGAACAACGAAGUGUUAUUAACAUUCCGGUAAGUUUGUUAUAGCUCAUAUAUUAAAAGAAGCAAAAUUAAAGCGAACCUAAGUCAAAAAGUUAUUAUAAAAAAAACUUUACUUUUUGUGGUAAUUUAGCCUUUGUUGAUAUGUAACAUUCAUCUGUCGUAUUGAACUAUGAAUACGAAAUUUGUCUGCGCAGAGAUGUGAAUAAUUAUUAUUAUUCAAUAUGUAAGCAAUCUCGGCUGUGAUUGGUCAACUACCUGCAGAUAAUUCUCGAUAUCUGCAAUUAUGACGUCAUAUCUACAAAUAAUAUUUCUAAAAUUAUGCACGCCAUUAAAAGCAUGUUUUGAAAACAAAUCAACCAUCAGCGAUGUUUGCCACAGUUUCUAAAAACAUUGUGAAAUCUUUUAGACGAAAAGGGUGCGGAAAACACUAAAAAAGCGGCGAAGCUGGCUUUGAACAUAUUUACAACAUAAUUAAACGAAACGAAUUUGAAUAAAUUGUCUGACAAAAACAACUUA